rnacentral:rRNA from 1 species
UACAGAGGGGGCAAGCGUUGUUCGGAAUUACUGGGCGUAAAGGGCGCGUAGGCGGCCUGCUAAGUCGAACGUGAAAUCCCCGGGCUCAACCCGGGAACUGCGUCCGAUACUGGUGGGCUUGAAUCCGGGAGAGGGAUGUGGAAUUCCAGGUGUAGCGGUGAAAUUCGUAGAUAUUCGGAAGAACACCAGUGGCGAAGGCGGCUCACUGGCCCGGUACUGACGCUCAUGUGCGAAAGCGUGGGGAGCAAACAGG